UCUCUCGAGGUUUCUAUCUACCUCUAAACAGGUCUGAGCCUGUUCAAGGUCAUGUAACUACGCAGUUUUUUUUGUUCUAUUUCUACUGCGUAGCAGAUGACGUCAUCAAACAGGUUUAGGCUUGUUUAAGGUAGAGUAGUUGGGGUAACUGCGCAGUAGAUGACUCAUUCUGAUCUAGAAUUUUCUUACUGCGCAGUAGAUGACGUCAUCAAACCGGUUUUGAGGUAGAGGAGUGGGGGUAACUGCGCAGUAUUUUCUGCCUAUAUAAGCAGCUCGCCGAGAGCGUACUUCACAAAAACGAAGUGCACGUCUCCAGUGAAGUACAACAUCUCGCCGACUACAAGUUUUAUUGAAGUACGAGUACUAUAUAUUACUUUCAAGUCUUUCAAACAUGAUCUUUCCAACCUGAAUGAGGUUAAUUGUUUGGUAGGAAUCCUACCUGUCAAGAAAAUGAAUGAGUUGGAGUUUAAUUGGGAGUACAAAAUCAAAGGG